UACGGGGGGGAGCAAGCGUUGUUCGGAUUUACUGGGCGUAAAGCGCGCGCAGGCGGUCCUUUAAGUCUGAUGUGAAAGCCCCACGGCUCAACCGUGGAGGGUCAUUGGAAACUGGGGGGACUUGAGUGCAGAAGAGGAAAGCGGAAUUCCACGUGUAGCGGUGAAAUGCGUAGAGAUGUGGAGGAACACCAGUGGCGAAGGCGGCUUUCUGGUCUGUAACUGACGCUGAGGCGCGAAAGCGUGGGGGAGCAAACAGG
rnacentral:rRNA from 1 species